rnacentral:rRNA from 1 species
AGUGAACGCUGGCGGUAGGCCUAACACAUGCAAGUCGAACGGCAGCACAGAGGAGCUUGCUCCUUGGGUGGCGAGUGGCGGACGGGUGAGGAAUACAUCGGAAUCUACUCUGUCGUGGGGGAUAACGUAGGGAAACUUACGCUAAUACCGCAUACGACCUACGGGUGAAAGCAGGGGAUCUUCGGACCUUGCGCGAUUGAAUGAGCCGAUGUCGGAUUAGCUAGUUGGCGGGGUAAAGGCCCACCAAGGCGACGAUCCGUAGCUGGUCUGAGAGGAUGAUCAGCCACUCUGGAACUGGGACACGGUCCAGACUCCUACGGGAGGCAGCAGUGGGGAAUAUUGGACAAGGGGCGCAAGCCUGAUCCAGCCAUACCGCGUGGGUGAAGAAGGCCUUCGGGUUGUAAAGCCCUUUUGUUGGGAAAGAAAUCCAGCCGGCUAAUACCUGGUUGGGAUGACGGUACCCAAAGAAUAAGCACCGGCUAACUUCGUGCCAGCCGCCGCCGUAA